CCUUGCCUGGAAAACAGUGGGAUUUGACUGAAAAGUAAACGCAGCCUGAGGCUACAUUAAAGGGACACUAUCAGCCUGAGAGCCACCCUCCUCUGUGAAAAUGCUGUGCUGAUCAUUGCUGCGAAUGAUACUGAAACUGGAGGAUGUUUAGGUUGAAGAAGGUGUUUCUCCCUGCGUGCUGCGUUUUGUGUGUUUUGUUGCACAUCACUUCCCAGCUUGGACUUUGGAGCUUGCCUGCGUGGGAGGAAAUCCCAUGUUGCUCUGCUGAGACCGGCGCAGGUUCAAAACGUGAAGGAUUUUUCGGAGCGUUCAGUGCAUGAGCCGGUGCUGACUGGCUUUCGUGGCCUCUGGACCCAGCUGGCUGGUGCUGCAGCAGCCUGGGGAGGUGCAGCCCGGCUGCUAGAGGAGCUUCUCAGCUCGGCACCCCUCUUCCAGCAGACCUUCAUUAAAAAGGGCUAUGAAUUUUCCACCCAAUUGUAUCUACGCCGUUCAGCAGCCUCCACUGAGGUAGAGGGGGAACGCUGCAGCAGGUGCAGCCCGGCGCGUGGAGAGGUUCGGUUUGCAUUCGCUAGAUGUCACUCUGUACAAAGACUAUCAGAAGCUGCUGGAACGGAUGAUUAAAUGAGGAAAAAAAAAAGCUAUUUGGAGAGGGUGGGUUUUUAAUCAAUUGGAAGGAUGCUUCAGCCAGCUAGUUAUGGCACUAAUAAACAGUGCUUUAGGCGAUGUUGAUAACA
rnacentral:lncRNA from 1 species